CCUACGGGUGGCUGCAGUCGAGAAUCAUUCACAAUGGGGGAAACCCUGAUGGUGCAACGCCGCGUGGGGGAAUGAAGGUCUUCGGAUUGUAAACCCCUGUCAUGUGGGAGCAAAUUAAAAAGAUAGUACCACAAGAGGAAGAGACGGCUAACUCUGUGACAGCAGCCGCGGUAAUACAGAGGUCUCAAGCGUUGUUCGGAAUCACUGGGCGUAAGGCGUGCGUAGGCUGUUUCGUAAGUCGGGUGUGAAAGGCGCGGGCUCAACCCGCGGACGGCACAUGAUACUGGGAGACUAGAGUAAUGGAGGGGGAACCGGAAUUCUCGGUGUAGCAGUGAAAUGCGUAGAUAUCGAGAGGAACACUCGUGGCGAAGGCGGGUUCCUGGACAUUAACUGACGCUGAGGCACGAAGGCCAAGGGAGCGAAAGGGAUUAGAUACCCCAGUAGUC
rnacentral:rRNA from 1 species